GAUGAACGCUGGCGGCGUGCCUAAUACAUGCAAGUCGAGCGAACAGAUGAGGAGCUUGCUCCUCUGACGUUAGCGGCGGACGGGUGAGUAACACGUGGAUAACCUACCUAUAAGACUGGGAUAACUUCGGGAAACCGGAGCUAAUACCGGAUAAUAUAUUGAACCGCAUGGUUCAAUAGUUAAAGACGGUUUUGCUGUCACUUAUAGAUGGAUCCGCGCCGCAUUAGCUAGUUGGUAAGGUAACGGCUUACCAAGGCAACGAUGCGUAGCCGACCUGAGAGGGUGAUCGGCCACACGGGAACUGAAACGCGGUCCAGACUCCUAGGGGAGGCAGCAGUAGGGAAUCUUCCGCAAUGGGCGAAAGUCUGACGGAGCAGCGCCGCGUGAGUGAUGAAGGUCUUCGGAUCGUAAAACGCUGUUAUUAGGGAAGAACAAAUGUGUAAGUAACUAUGCACGUCUUGACGGUACCUAAUCAGAAAGCCACGGCUAACUACGUG
rnacentral:rRNA from 1 species